AAACAAGAAAUCGCGUUGGUAGAAGUCAACCACUUUUUCUACAUGUCAAGCCAAGGGUCUCUAAUACCAAAAAACGAAUUUAACGAAGCUUGAAAUAAUGAUGGCCUUGCAAAGUUCAACCUCAUGCGAGUCUCUCUCUCUCUCUCUCUUGGAAUGCUGAGUGGCAGAGUUGUAAACACAGUUUCGAGCUGAUUUGGUGUGUGUCUUUUCGUCAGGAAACGUCUUCUUUGAAACUAAAGCUGUGAGAACCGAUAAUGGAGUACACUGCUCCUCACCAGAAGAAUUUCCGCAAAUAGAGAAUGGAGAAAAUUUUACAAACUGGAAAUUAUCGGUGAGUAUUGCGGAAAUACCAAGCACAAAUUUUACAGUGUUUGACUGCAACACUUAUCAAAUUUGGUCUGAGUGCAUAUUUUCUGGCUUUCCUUGUGAAUGGCUUCGAGAAAAUCUUAAGUGUGGUCACUACAGUCAACAUUCAAAUGGAAAAUGCAUCACUGAUCGACCAAAUUAUAAAGUUUUGACUGUCAAGGAUGGACAAGAUAUUUGUCCGUCGAUAACUGUCGACCCAAUUAUUACAGUACCAUCAGGAAAAAAGAAAGCAGUAAGGGUGAAUGUUCUAAUAAUAGAGGUCCUCCUGGUUCAAGCAAGAUUUCGAUUUCGAAAACAAUGCAGAAACAAUUUACUGCUCUGAAAUUGAAUUUUCUUACGAGUCUAAGGAUCCAAAAAUAUUGGUGCUAUUUCUUUUAUAUGCUGGACGACAUGGUUUUCAUUUCGAAAAUCCAAAGGAGAUAUACAAAAUGUGGAGAAACGCUUUUUCGUCAGUGGAAGAAAAAUACAGUUGUGGUUGGUGUGAGAAAACAAAUAGCUGUGAGACUCAAGAUUCUUGUGAAGAAUUGUGGAGAACUCGGAAGUAUUAUUGUGAUUAUUUAGACUCGAAUGUAACAGCGUUGCUUUAAUAGUAGCAAUAGUACUCACCGCACUGGAGUCCUUGGCCUUGAAAAGGUAACAAUAAUAUAGUGCAUCAUCGCCUUUGAGAGUGUAAAGAAAGCUGCCACCUUUUAUGUCCUGGGCACUUGGUGGUACCAGUUGAGGUUUCAAGGUGCUGUUUAAUGUAUGUCUAAACAACGGCUCCUCUUUGUUGGGGACGUAUGCCGAAAUGGUUCCAGAAGCCAACAGAAGAUUAACCUAAAUCAACAUUGUUAAGCACGCUUGUGAAAAUGAUAUAAUAUGUACUUUAGUGAUUUUAGGUGUCACGGGAAAAACAAGAAGCGAAACUUAUUUCAAGUUCUGAGCGUUUAAAUUAUUUUUUUAAUGUUUGCCUUUUAAAUCUCGUUUUAAACCGAAAAUAGUCAUCAAAUACUGGUUUAUUUCGCAGGAAAGAAAGUAGUCUACUCUUUAAAUAAAUACAAAUAACAAUUAUAGAU